UCAGUGCACACAGGACUCAAUCUCCAGCCCUGCUCCUUGGCCCGAGGUCAGGCUGACACCUCAAAGCCCCAGCCCUCUACUUAGACGGCUGGUCUUUCUGGCCUGCCCAGUCACCCUAUAGGCAUGAACCAUCAGUGUGGCCCAAGGGACCCACUGUGAAUAGUAAGGUUGAGAGGUGACCUCCCAGGAACUGGGGACAAAGACCAGCCACACUCUACAUACACAGCUACAAGCAAACGCCCAUUACCCCUCUGAGGCCCCACGCUUCCUGUUCCCCUUUCCACCCAUCUUUUCCUACCAUGUGACACCACAAAUUGGUAGUAAGCUUCUGCUCAGGUGCCCCCAGACCGAUAGCUUAAGAAAAAUUCACGCUCCUGCCAUUCCUCGCUAGGACCUGCCGUCUCCAGCGCUCCCUACCCUGCCAGAUUUUUUCUUUGCUGGUUUAGCCUGUUGUUCCGCCUAUCAGAUCAUCUCGUGUCCUGGUGCUGUUCACUCAGACAUGGAAUGACUCUGCCGGCAUCGUGCUCUUCACAGCCAUGGCAUUCUCGAGGGCAGGACGGCUCCAGCCAUGCCAAGGAGCACUCAAGAGCGGCCAGGAAGCCACCCAGAGGGGUUCCCACAUCGUGCUGGGAUGCCACGGGGGGCUGGAGCCUGAGGGGACUCAGAUCAUCCGUCUCUCACCUGCAUUUUGAUUUCUCAAAAGUUGCAGCUGUGGAAGUUUCCAGAAGGAAUGUGGUGGUGUUUCUGAAAAUGGAACAUCCCAGCUUCUGAAAACUUUUUCAGGUACUUUUUCAUAUUUUGAAAAGUAAAAAAGUUUUUAACCAACAUGUUAGGAAGUGAUUUAAUGUUAAUGUUAGAAUUUCCCGAGUGACAUUCCUCAUGUCACAAUCAAAAUGAUGAGGCUAGUCUCCUGUGAAAGUGACUGACGAGCCAAUUCUGCCCCAGCAGAGUCAGUUAACACUCAGGACAGAAGCAACAAACGCUACAGCUCUGUUCCCUUUUUGCUGUUUUCACAAGUCAAACACAGCACAGUGUUGAUGUGGCACUCGUGGUGGAUGCCUUUCAGGCCACCUGCCCAGCCCAUUUCCUCCCAGCAGCAGCCAUGCUUUCAAUGCAGAACCAACCCACCUCAGGCAGGAUACUCAGAUUGUCCCUCACAGCCAUGGGGGCUGGGGUGGAGAGGCUACCUGGGCGGCCUUGGUGGCUGUCUGGGCAGGUGCCUGUGGACUUGGUACCUGGGUGGCCACACGCCGCCAUGGGCACAGGAAGGCCAGAAACUUAGCUCCGCCUUCUGUGGGCCUGGGUGGCCCUUGAGACCUGGAUGGGGUGUUCAGGGCAGCCGUGGGAACGCAGGGUGGGAGGCUCCGCCUGGCCCGUCUGCAGGAUGAACUUCUACCUGGGGUUGUCCCUCCACUACUCCUCCCCACUUCUCUCCUGUGGCUGCAGCCAGGGCCAGUCAGGCUGAUUCUGAAAUGUGAGUCCUGACCUUUGAGAUUGUCCUGUCAAGAACCUGUGAACGGGCUCCCCACUGCCCUUAGAAUAAAUUAUAAACUCCCUGAGUGGGAGGGCCACCAGUAAUCUGACCUGUUUUUUUGCCUCAUUUCUCUUUCUUUCUAUUUUUUUUCGGGGGCGGAGUCUCACUCCGUUGCCCAGGCUGGAGUGCAGUGGUGCCAUCGUAGCUCGUGAUGAAGACGAUGUCAUCCCUGCGUUGCUUACAUGCAAGAACCGCGCCUCCCAGCCGCUCCCUGGAGCACCGCGCUCGCCGGGACUGGCGCCCCUGGCCAGAGGCGCAGGGCCUGCGCCAGCGUUCUCUGAAAUGUGCAUCCCUGACUUGGCACCCUGAUACAAAGCGAUUUUCUCACCUGCCUUAGUGACAAGCGUGUGGGUUUGGAGUUUGAAUGGCCAGGUGUGGACCCUGACUCUGACGAGUGAGGGCAGGCAACGCUUCAGCGUCUGCACCUCGGAUUUCCAUCCCGUAAGAUGAGGGCGGUCACAUAACCACCCUCACAGGGCUGCUGUGAGGGACACCAUGUGUGGCCAGUACUGGAUAGAUGCUACCAAUGAUUAAGGCAAUAACUGGGAAGAUGUUCCAACUUUGCAUUAAAUAACAUAUUUUUGAAUAGGGGUCAAAGUUGGUGAUGUGACUUUGGAAGUAAGAGACCAGAGGAAAGCGACGUGGCCAGCAGAGCGGAGUGAGGAGGUCCACUCCAGCACCAGCCGCGCCCCAGCGGCCGCACCACCCGCCACUCCGGGCUCAGCGAAGUCACAACAGAAAUUAAAAUGCCUGAAGAUUUAUUUCACAAUCUCAACUCUCAGGAGAGAAUGAAAGAGAACAGAUGACAUGCAAUCUACCACCACUAUGAACUGAUAUAAACUUUGAAAAGUGAUAUGAAAAUAUAUGUCAAGAGUGAAAAAAGUAACCACCCUUUGUCUAGUAAUCCCAGGACGCUGGAAUUAUGAAGGAAACAGUGUAAAUUCUGGUGGAUGCGGAGAAGGCGGUAACGUCCCCACCCUGCAGUGCGGGAAACUGUGGAUCAUGGGUGCAUCCCUUCUACAGAACAUUACACAGUCACUGAAAAGUAGUUAACGUGCCAUCUAGGUAGAAUUCCUGCCCAAGGUGUUUAAGUUGAAUCUAAUCAUGAGGAAACAACCAAAUAAAUCCAGAAUGUGGGACUUUCUAUAAAAUAACUGGCUUAGACAUUUCAAAAAAGAUCAAUGUCAUGAAAAAAAAAAAGGCAGAGACUAUUCUAGAUUAAAUAAGAUUCUGUAUGAAAAAACACCCAGAAGAUAUUUUGGGGCAGACUAGGAAAUUUUUUUUUUUGAGUCUCACUUUGUUGCCCAGGCUUGAGUGAGUGCCAUGGCAUCAGCCUAGCUCAC